UACGUAGGGGGCUAGCGUUGUCCGGAAUCAUUGGGCGUAAAGCGCGCGUAGGCGGCCCGGUAAGUCCGCUGUGAAAGUCCAGGGCUCAACCCUGGAAAGCCGGUGGAUACUGCCGGGCUAGAGUCCGGAAGAGGCGAGUGGAAUUCCUGGUGUAGCGGUGGAAUGCGCAGAUAUCAGGAGGAACACCAAUUGCGAAGGCAGCUCGCUGGGACGUAACUGACGCUGAGACGCGAAAGCGUGGGGAGCAAACAGG
rnacentral:rRNA from 1 species